rnacentral:rRNA from 1 species
AUUGAACGCUGGCGGCAUGCCUUACACAUGCAAGUCGAACGGUAACGCGGGGCAACCUGGCGACGAGUGGCGAACGGGUGAGUAAAGUAUCGGAACGUGCCCAAUAGUGGGGGAUAGCCCGGCGAAAGCCGGAUUAAUACCGCAUGAGACCUGAGGGUGAAAGCGGGGGACUCGCAAGAGCCUCGCGCUGUUGGAGCGGCCGAUAUCAGAUUAGGUAGUUGGUGGGGUAAAGGCCUACCAAGCCGACGAUCUGUAGCUGGUCUGAGGGGACGACCAGCCACACUGGGACUGAGACACGGCCCAGACUCCUACGGGAGGCAGCAGUGGGGAAUUUUGGACAAUGGGCGCAAGCCUGAUCCAGCCAUGCCGCGUGCGGGAAGAAGGCCUCGG